rnacentral:lncRNA from 1 species
UAAAUAAUUGAAUUAGACAGUUUAUAUGGUUCAGUAUUUUAUUACUUUUGAAUUUGGGAUUUCAUGAACAUAACAAUGAAUUUGGGAUUUUUGUGAAAUGGAAAUAGUUUUCUACCCCCCGUGGUAGCGAGUUUUAAAAGGAGAAGGUUUCUGUGUGAGAAAGAGUUUUUAAAAGAUUUUAUCGUGGUUUUCAUGACUUAGUAUUUCAAAAUAAGUUUCCGGGUAGAAAACAUUUUAAACUAAUAGUUGUGGACCUUUAGAUAAACUUUGAAUAUGAAAAUGUUGGUAAAUAGUGUAUGAAUGUAUGAUUGUUGAUAUAUUCAGUUGCGGUGGUUGUAUUCUGUUAUGUACCUUGUACUUGUGCGACGCUGUGCAAAUAUAGGGGAUACUCUAUCCGUGUGAA